rnacentral:rRNA from 1 species
GCAGCCACGAUAAUUCCAGCUCCAAUAGCGUAUAUUAAAGUUGUUGCAGUUAAAAAGCUCGUAGUUGAAUUUUGGGAUCAAUGGGUUGGUCAUGCCCUCGGUAUGUACUGAUUUCAUUAGUUCUCACCUUCUAAGGAACCAUGAUGUCAUUCGUUUGAUGUUGUGGGGAAUUAGGACUGUUACCUUGAAAAAAUUAGAGUGUUUAAAACAGGCUAACGCUUGAAUACAUUAGCAUGGAAUAAUGAAAUAGGACAUCCGAUUCUAUUUUGUUGGUUUCUAGGAUCGAUGUAAUGAUUAAUAGGGAUAGUUAGGGGCAUUAGUAUUCAAUUGUCAGAGGUGAAAUUCUUGGAUUUAUUGAAGACUAACUACUGCGAAAGCAUUUGCUAAGGAUGUUUUCAUUAAUCAAGAACGAAAGUUAGGGGAUCAAAGACGAUCAGAUACCAUCGUAAUCUUAACCAUAAACUAUGCCGACUAGGGAUCGGAUGAUGCUUAUUUUUUAAUGACUCAUUUGGCACCUUACG